AUCUAAGUGGUGUAAAAAACAUAUUAAAUUGUAAAUUUAAAGAUAUUUUCUAGGUU
rnacentral:tRNA from 1 species